UACGUAGGGUGCGAGCGUUGUCCGGAAUUACUGGGCGUAAAGAGCUCGUAGGUGGUUUGUCGCGUUGUUCGUGAAAACUCACAGCUCAACUGUGGGCGUGCGGGCGAUACGGGGCAGACUGGAGUACUGCAGGGGAGACUGGAAUUCCUGGUGUAGCGGUGGAAUGCGCAGAUAUCAGGAGGAACACCGGUGGCGAAGGCGGGUCUCUGGGCAGUAACUGACGCUGAGGAGCGAAAGCGUGGGGAGCAACAGG
rnacentral:rRNA from 1 species